rnacentral:misc_RNA from 1 species
GAUGAAGAACGCAGUGAAAUGCGAUAAUUAAUGUGAAUUGCAGAUUUCAGUGAAUCAUCGAGUUUUUGAACGCACAUUGCGCCCCCUGGUAUUCCUAGGGGCAUGCCUAUUCGAGCGUCGUUUGGUCUCUCAAGCCUGGCUUGGUGUUGGGGCACGCCCUCUUACGAGCGGCGGCCCUCGAAAUCAUCGGCGGUGCCGGUGCGGCCUGGAAGCGCAGCAAAAUGCGAAGCCUACCCACUGAUACCCGCCGGAUCAAACGUCUUCGGACACGUUUUUACAAAAAGACCUCGAAUUAGGUAGGGAUACCCGCUGAACUUAAGCAUAUCAAUAAGCGGAGGA